rnacentral:rRNA from 1 species
AUUGAACGCUGGCGGCAAGCCUAACACAUGCAAGUCGAACGAGUGGCGGACGGGUGAGUAAUGUCUGGGACACUGCCUGAUGGAGGGGGAUAACUACUGGAAACGGUAGCUAAUACCGCAUACCCUCGGAUGUGCCCAGAUGGGAUUAGCUAGUAGGUGUGGUAAAGGCUCACCUAGGCGACGAUCCCUAGCUGGUCUGAGAGGAUGACCAGCCAAACUGGAAAUGAGACACGGUCCAGACGCCGACGGGAGGCAGCAGUGGGGAAUAUUGCACAAUGGGGGAAAGCCUGAUGCAGACAGGCCGCGUGUAUGAAGAAGGCCUUCGGGUUGUAAAGUACUUUCAGCGGGGAGGCGUUACCCGCAGAAGAAGCACCGGCUAACUCCGUGCCAGCAGCCGCGGUAAUAC